CCGCCCGGCCCGCCGGCCCGAGACGGCGCCAGCGCCCCGGAUUCGCCUCGGCUCGGCCGCGCGUAUAUUUCCCUUCCUUCAUGAUCUCCAACACUGAUAAAGUGGAAGAAGCUGAGGUACCAUGAAAGAGAAAAGUAACCAGGACUGAGAAAAAGAAAGAGGUCUCAGCCUGAGAUGAUGCUUCUCCAGAAAGACUUCCCUGAUCUCCCCAGACUGGGUUUAGAUGUACUUGAGGUGGUCUAGUUCCUUCCCCUUGGAUUUGAAGCGAGGUUAUAAAAGGUGAUUCCACUUCCUCCUGGUUCUCUUGGGAUUCUUGCUCUUGGAACCCAGCCACCAUGUAUGAGGAGGCCCAAGCUGCCCUGUGUAGAGACCCACAUGGAGAAGAACCAAUAGCCAGCAUCAACUUGCCAGCCAUGUGGGUGAGCCAUUUUGAAAAUGAGUCCUCCAGCUUCCUGCAGACCACCCAGUUGACACCUGUUGGAGUGGCAAUGAGCUAUCCCUGCUGAACCCUGCCCAAAUUAGAGAUUCAUUAGCAAAAUAAAUGGUGAUUGUUGUUUUAAGCCACUUAAGUCUUGGGAUGGUUUUAUUAAGCAGCAAUAGGUAACUGGAAGAGCAUCUUAUGUUUGUCAUGCAGGCAGGUGGUGCCACUCAGUGGUUAAGAGGGUGGUCUGUGACUAAGAGGGUCUUGGUUCAGAGCCUACCUCUGCUACUUUACUAGUUGUGUGACCCUUGGCAAGUUUCUCAACCUCUCCGUGCUUCAGUUUCCUUUUUUCAGUGAAAAUAAAAGCAGUACUUAAGUUUGUUGUGAGGAGUAAGUGAUCAAUGCAGGUAAAUGCAGAUCUACAGGUAAUACAGAUCAGUCUUUGUGAUCAUCUCAGGCAAGCCUCUGAUCAUUCACCAUCGCUCACUUGUGUGGCUCUGUUUCUUUGUCUUUAUAAUGCUUUUGGUAUAUGUAUAUACGUGUGUGUGUAUUUAUAUGUGUAUCUAUAUACAUGUAUAGUAUAGAGCUUUUAGCGCUAUCUGAAAUGAUCUUGUCUGCUUGUUAUUGUUUAUCCCACAGAGUAUGAGUCCCAGUAAAGCAGGAAACUUGCCUGUCUCAUUCACUGCUUUAUUGCCAGUACCUGGAACAGUUCCUGGCACAAAGUGCUUAAUAACUUUUUUUGUUAACGAAUGGAUGAAUACACCUUUCACACUUCUUGUAGAAGAUAUCACUAAUUCUUACCUGGUAUCCAUUUUCUCCUAUAAUAAUAGUGGACCCUGCUUUUGUUGUGGAUGUCAGUAUGAAAUACUCACUGUCCCAGACUCCCUUGCAGCUAAGGGUCAUUGUGUAAUACAUUUCCUGUGAGUGAGACAUAAUCAAAGUUCUGCUAAGGAUGUCUGGGAAAGUUUUUUGCUUUGAUAUAGGCACUGCCCUUUCUUUCUUCCCCUUUUCCUCCUUCCUGCCCACAAGACGGGCUAGAAGUAGAGCAGCCAAAAAGGUGAUAAACAUCAGGAUCAAAAUAGGAACCACCUGAGACACUGAUGAACUAUGUAGUGAAGUCACUACACCACAGACUCUCUUAUGAUGUGAGAAAAAUGAAUCCUUUGUAGUUGAGCCCCAGCAGUCAGCCUUCUGUUACUUGCAGCCAAAUACAUUCUCAACCGAUAAACUAUGAUGGAGUAAUAUCUACCCCUCUAGGCUGUUCAUUAAGGGCAAGGGACUAUUUCAUCUUUCUUACUAUUCUAUAAGAGGACUGGAAGAAUUUAUCAGCACAAAUGUCAUUCACUAUCCAGAUAUCUCUUCAGCUUUCUUCAAAUAGUGAAAGGCAGCAAGUGGCAUGGGACACCACAUUAUUAUCUGAAACUAUUUGGCUCCUCAGUUCAGACAUUUCAAAUAGCAGGGGUUACGUGUACUGUUCAUUCCUGAAACAAAUGUAUUUAUUGCCACUCUAUGCCAGCAUUGUAUGACUGUUGGGGAUACAGCAAUGAGUAAGUCAGAUAACUGAAGCUGGAUGCCCAAGUUCCCACUAAACAUUAAGCUCCCAAAGGGGAGGAGCUGAGCUGCUCCCAGUAAGAGAGACUUAAUUCUAGCAGUCUCUCUACCAUCUUGUGCCUCAUCUCAACCUUCUUUUCCCCUGACCCCACUUUAGUGGUCUUGGUGGUCUCGCUUCACUUACUCAUUCACCAGCUUUUUUUUUAGAGUUUCCCAUGUGCCUAGAAUACCCAGUGUUUGGGCUGCAUAUUUAUUUGUAGUAUUUUGAAUGCCUAAUCUUGACUUCCAAGAUCAUUCAGGUUUUAAAUUCUGUCUGCUUUCUCUACAACUAAACCUCCAUGUCCUCUUGCUGAUCCAUGAUAAAGGGGCUGUUCUCCCAGUACCAACACAUCUAUGUGGUUUACCUAAACUCAGCUGUGGGAGCUGGGUGUAUUAACCUUACCUGAUGUCAUGACUGGGCAUUACGGUCCCAAACCCAAAUGAUAGAUGCCCUCACUCAGCUCCAAGGUACAUCCAGAUUAGAAUUUGGGACAGUGGUAAAAUGGUUCAGACUAGUCAUAAACUUAGUCUCAAGGGUUAAAGCUUUAGGAAUUGCUGCUAUGGCAAUAUAGGUGUAAUAGGUUGAAGGUAGACUGUUGAGACAGAUGCCAGGAAUCCUGGGCCCACAUUGUAUUUUCACCUUUGAUAUUUUAAUUAAUUUAUUUUUAAGGAAGAUUAGCCCUGAGCUAAUAUCUGCCACUAAUUCUCCUCUUUUU